UAAACAGGCUAGAGCAGUUUGUAUAGUUUAGUUGGUAAAUUAAAGUCUAGGUAAGAAUUCUUUGAUUUUUUAGGGGACGAUAAGACCCUAGAAGCUUUAAAAAAGAAAAAUUUUUAGUAAUUGUAUUUUAUUUUUACUGGGGCGGUAUUAGUGUUUUAACUACUAGUGAUAAAGAUUGAUCCUUAAUAUAAAGAUAAUUCGGUUAAGUUACUCUAGGGAUAACAGUGCGGUAUUUUUGGAAAGGUCUUAUUAAUAAAAAUGUUCGCAACCUCGAUGUUGAAUUAAGAUGUCUCCGUGGGGUAGUAAAUACGGUAGAGGGUUUGUUCAACCUUUAUAAUCUU
rnacentral:rRNA from 1 species